rnacentral:rRNA from 1 species
GACGAACGCUGGCGGCGUGCUUAACACAUGCAAGUCGAACGGAAAGGCCCUGCUUUUGUGGGGUGCUCGAGUGGCGAACGGGUGAGUAACACGUGAGUAACCUGCCCUUGACUUUGGGAUAACUUCAGGAAACUGGGGCUAAUACCGGAUAGGAGCUCCUGCUGCAUGGUGGGGGUUGGAAAGUUUCGGCGGUUGGGGAUGGACUCGCGGCUUAUCAGCUUGUUGGUGGGGUAGUGGCUUACCAAGGCUUUGACGGGUAGCCGGCCUGAGAGGGUGACCGGCCACAUUGGGACUGGGAUACGGCCCAGACUCCUACGGGAGGAAGCAGUGGGGAAUAUUGCACAAUGGGCGGAAGCCUGAUGCAGCAACGCCGCGUGCGGGAUGACGGCAUUCGGGUUGUAAACCGCUUUCGCCUGUGACGAAGCGUGAGUGACGGUAAUGGGUAAAGAAGCACCGGCUAACUACGU